GACGAACGCUGGCGGCGUGCUUAACACAUGCAAGUCGAACGGAAAGGCCCUGCUUUUGUGGGGUGCGCGAGUGGCGAACGGGUGGGUAACACGUGAGUAACCUGCCCUUCACUUUGGGAUAACUUCAGGAAACGGGGGCUAAUACCGGAUAGUAGCUCCUGCUGCGUGUUGGGGGUUGGAAGGUUUCGGCGGUUGGGGAUGGACUCGCGGCUUAUCAGCUUGUUGGUGGGGUAGUGGCUUACCAAGGCUUUGACGGGUAGCCGGCCUGAGAGGGUGACCGGCCACAUUGGGACUGAGAGACGGCGCAGACUCCUACGGGAGGCAGCAGUGGGGAAUAUUGCACAAUGGGCGGAAGCGUGAUGCAGCAGCGCCGCGUGCGGGAUGACGGCCUUCGGGUUGUAAACCGCUUUCGCCUGUGACGAAGCGUGAGUGACGGUAAUGGGUAAAGAAGCACCGGCUAACUACGUG
rnacentral:rRNA from 1 species